UUCCGUAGUCACCAGUGCUGUCAGGGCUGCAGUUACAGCACCAACAUCUGGCUGCAGCCCCUGCAGCUGGAUUGGCCAUUUCCUCACCUGGCUGAGCGUGCAGAGCAGGUGGGAGGACCUCAGCUUGUGCCUGAGAAAAUGAUGAGAGGAAGGUUUGGCAGGAGGGACUGGGGCAGGGAGUGUUUGGAUCCAGGCAGAACGAAAACGUGGAUGUUGAACGUUCAGAGCACUGAUAACACCAAUCAUGGAAUUCCAGGAUGGUUUGGGUGGGAAAGGACCUUAAAGCUCAUCCCAUUCCACCCCUGCCACAGGCAGGGAAACCUUCCACUGGACCAGGUUGCUCCCCAGUAAUGAGGGAAGGGAUGGAAAAGAUUUUUGACAUGGAAAAUAAACCCACACCUCACUUCA